CGGGUGAGUAACACGUGAGUGACCUGCCUUUUAGACUGGGAACAACUUACCGAAAGGUGAGGCUAAUGCCGGAUGAGUUAUAUAAGUGCANGUUUAUAUGGAAAAGUUGGGAGACCUGACGCUGAAAGAUGGACUCGCGUCCCAUUAGCUAGUUGGUAGGGUAAUGGCCUACCAAGGCGACGAUGGGUAGCCGGCCUGAGAGGGUGGCCGGCCACACUGGGACUGAGACACGGCCCAGACUCCUACGGAAGGCAGCAG
rnacentral:rRNA from 1 species